rnacentral:rRNA from 1 species
UGCGGCAGCGACACUAUGUGUUGUUGGGUAGGGGAGCGUUCUGUAAGCCUGUGAAGGUGGCCUGUGAGGGUUGCUGGAGGUAUCAGAAGUGCGAAUGCUGACAUAAGUAACGAUAAAGCGGGUGAAAAGCCCGCUCGCCGGAAGACCAAGGGUUCCUGUCCAACGUUAAUCGGGGCAGGGUGAGUCGACCCCUAAGGCGAGGCCGAAAGGCGUAGUCGAUGGGAAACAGGUUAAUAUUCCUGUACUUGGUGUUACUGCGAAGGGGGGACGGAGAAGGCUAUGUUGGCCGGGCGACGGUUGUCCCGGUUUAAGCGUGUAGGCUGGUUUUCCAGGCAAAUCCGGAAAAUCAAGGCUGAGGCGUGAUGACGAGGCACUACGGUGCUGAAGCGACAAAUGCCCUGCUUCCAGGAAAAGCCUCUAAGCAUCAGGUAACAUCAAAUCGUACCCCAAACCGACACAGGUGGUCAGGUAGAGAAUACCAAGGCGCUUGAGAGAACUCGGGUGAAGGAACUAGGCAAAAUGGUGCCGUAACUUCGGGAGAAGGCACGCUGAUAUGUAGGUGAAGCGACUUGCUCGUGGAGCUGAAAUCAGUCGAAGAUACCAGCUGGCUGCAACUGUUUAUUAAAAACACAGCACUGUGCAAACACGAAAGUGGACGUAUACGGUGUGACGCCUGCCCGGUGCCGGAAGGUUAAUUGAUGGGGUUAGCGGUAACGCGAAGCUCUUGAUCGAAGCCCCGGUAAACGGCGGCCGUAACUAUAACGGUCCUAAGGUAGCGAAAUUCCUUGUCGGGUAAGUUCCGACCUGCACGAAUGGCGUAAUGAUGGCCAGGCUGUCUCCACCCGAGACUCAGUGAAAUUGAACUCGCUGUGAAGAUGCAGUGUACCCGCGGCAAGACGGAAAGACCCCGUGAACCUUUACUAUAGCUUGACACUGAACAUUGAGCCUUGAUGUGUAGGAUAGGUGGGAGGCUUUGAAGUGUGGACGCCAGUCUGCAUGGAGCCGACCUUGAAAUACCACCCUUUAAUGUUUGAUGUUCUAACGUGGGCCCCUUACCGGGGUUGCGGACAGUGUCUGGUGGGUAGUUUGACUGGGGCGGUCUCCUCCUAAAGAGUAACGGAGGAGCACGAAGGUUGGCUAAUCCUGGUCGGACAUCAGGAGGUUAGUGCAAUGGCAUAAGCCAGCUUGACUGCGAGCGUGACGGCGCGAGCAGGUGCGAAAGCAGGUCAUAGUGAUCCGGUGGUUCUGAAUGGAAGGGCCAUCGCUCAACGGAUAAAAGGUACUCCGGGGAUAACAGGCUGAUACCGCCCAAGAGUUCAUAUCGACGGCGGUGUUUGGCACCUCGAUGUCGGCUCAUCACAUCCUGGGGCUGAAGUAGGUCCCAAGGGUAUGGCUGUUCGCCAUUUAAAGUGGUACGCGAGCUGGGUUUAGAACGUCGUGAGACAGUUCGGUCCCUAUCUGCCGUGGGCGCUGGAGAACUGAGGGGGGCUGCUCCUAGUACGAGAGGACCGGAGUGGACGCAUCACUGGUGUUCGGGUUGUCAUGCCAAUGGCACUGCCCGGUAGCUAAAUGCGGAAGAGAUAAGUGCUGAAAGCAUCUAAGCACGAAACUUGCCCCGAGAUGAGUUCUCCCUGACUCCUUGAGAGUCCUGAAGGAACGUUGAAGACGACGACGUUGAUAGGCCGGGUGUGUAAGCGCAGCGAUGCGUUGAGCUAACCGGUACUAAUGAACCGUGAGGCUUAACCUUACAACGCCGAAGAUGUUUUG